GCCAGCGUAGCUCAGUUGGUAGAGCAGUAGUUUUGUAAACUAUUGGUCACGGGUUCGAAUCCUGUCGCUGGCU
rnacentral:tRNA from 1 species